rnacentral:rRNA from 1 species
UACGUAGGGUGCGAGCGUUAAUCGGAAUUACUGGGCGUAAAGCGUGCGCAGGCGGUCUGUUAAGACCGAUGUGAAAUCCCCGGGCUUAACCUGGGAACUGCAUUGGUGACUGGCAGGCUUUGAGUGUGGCAGAGGGAGGUAGAAUUCCACGUGUAGCAGUGAAAUGCUUAGAGAUGUGGAGGAAUACCGAUGGCGAAGGCAGCCUCCUGGGCCAACACUGACGCUCAUGCACGAAAGCGUGGGGAGCAAACAGG